rnacentral:rRNA from 1 species
UACGUAGGGAGCAAGCGUUGUUCGGAUUUACUGGGCGUAAAGGGCGCGUAGGCGGCGCGGUAAGUCACUUGUGAAAUCUCUGAGCUUAACUCAGAACGGCCAAGUGAUACUGCAGUGCUAGAGUGCAGAAGGGGCAAUCGGAAUUCUUGGUGUAGCGGUGAAAUGCGUAGAUAUCAAGAGGAACACCUGAGGUGAAGACGGGUUGCUGGGCUGACACUGACGCUGAGGCACGAAAGCUAGGGUAGCAAACGGG